rnacentral:rRNA from 1 species
AAACUGAGGAUAAUACCGGAUAGGCAAUUAUUCCUGUAAUGGUUUUUUGUUUAAAUGUUUUUUCGCCUAAGGAUGAGUCUGCGGCCGAUUAGGUAGUUGGUUAGGUAAUGGCUUACCAAGCCGUUGAUCGGUACGGGUUGUGAGAGCAAGAGCCCGGAGAUGGAACCUGAGACAAGGUUCCAGGCCCUACGGGGUGCAGCAGGCGCGAAACCUCCGCAAUGUGAGAAAUCGCGACGGGGGGAUCCCAAGUGCCAUUCUUAACGGGAUGGCUUUUCAUUAGUGUAAAGAGCUUUUGGAAUAAGAGCUGGGCAAGACCGGUGCCAGCCGCCGCGGUAACACCGGCAGCUCUAGUGGUAACAAUUUUUAUUGGGCCUAAAGCGUCCGUAGCCGGUUUAAUAAGUCUCUGGUGAAAUCCUGUAGCUUAACUGUGGGAAUUGCUGGAGAUACUAUUANACUUGA